rnacentral:tRNA from 1 species
GGUUCCAAGGUGUAAUGGUGAGCGCUCUGGACUCUGAAUCCAGCAAUUCGAGUUCAAAUCUCGGUGGGACCU